UUUUAAAUUCCCAAAUGAAGUCAAUCAGCAGAAAGAUGUAUUUGCAGGAGUAUCUUUUACAACAGCCACUGUCUAUGUAUCUCACUGUAUGUCUAAUUCUUCCAGUAUAUCCCAAAAUUGAAAUUUCAUUGGAAGAUGCAGUCAUGGAAGAACACAGUGCCUGAAACAGUCUGUUGUGAUCCCAGUACACCUGAUCUGCACCUGAUUGUCUCUGGUUGCAGCUGGUCAUAGUUGAAGGGUCCCUCAGUGCUGUGGGAUCUCUCAAGAGAAUAGAUCAUUAUGACUUACCUGCAGUCUGUUGAGACAGCAUCAAAUAGAAAUCUCUUCUUAUGUGCCAUUAGGGACAAACAUGAGUGCCAGAAAUGCUUGACCCCAAGGUUCCUAGCUCUGAAAUUUUCUCCCAUUGGAAAUCUACUCUGCAGGACAAGCUUCCUGGCAGCAGAUAAGCCCUCCCGAUCUGGACCAAAGUGUGCUGGUGUCAUUUUGAGAGAGGCUUGCUCCAAAGACAUCACUAUAGCUGGGGAGGAAAAGCCUACCUCAUCCUCAAGAUAUUUCCCUCAUCCUAUAUAUCCUAUGGAAUCUUACUGGAAGCUAAUCCCUCUUCAACUUCAUAGGAAAAAGAGAUUUUACAAUCUUCUGUUUGUUCACUGUGCCAAAUGUGCUUGAAGAACUCCAUCGCUCUGAAUAAGUGCCAAACACGAUGAUGAACUGCAUCACCCCUUGGAGAUCACACACAGGGAGGGUUCUGCAGCAACAAGUCCCUCUGAGCAAUACUCUUGCAGACUAACAAUAAAAGUUUCAUGAGCGCAAACAUCACGUACUAAUGUUGACACUUACUAGUGACUAAAGCAUAAAUGACAUGCAGCGCAGUUGCCUUGAUAUCCUGUAUUCUGACCAGAUUUAGCUCAUCUUCCUGCAUAAUUUCCUUUGUCUUGUUUGUAGUUCUUUUUCUCCUUAAUUGCUGCUCUAGCCUGUCUUUAUAAAUUGCAUUCCCACAUGUUUACUUGUCAGGGGCACACAGUCGCCAUGUGACAGGACGUGUGUGCUCAAAACUGACAACGUGUGUGGAUCAAAGCCAGCAAGGCAAAGAAAAAAGCUUCAUAAACAAUGCUGUAAAUAACAUCUGGGCUGCCCAAAUAUGGAAGAACAUGAUAGUUUUUCCUCUUUGUUGUUAUUUUGUUUUGUCAUGGACAUCUCCCUAUAGAUAUAAACAAGUCUGAAGUCAGUAAUUAUGGUACAGAUUAUUUUGAGCUAAUUCUCAUCACCAAAUGCGUACAACAAUGUGCUGCAGACGGAAAAAACAGACAAGGUGAAGUGAAACUUCAGGAAGCGAAUGAAUCAGUGUUGCAGAACAAAGCCAGAAAAAAAGAAACCCAGCCAAUUAAGAGAAAUACACAGAAAAUGAUUAAAAGAAGUUCAGUUUAAACAUCCUCAUCUCAUCCUGCUACAUAAGAUAUUGACACACAGUUUUUCCAACUUAUUUGAGUAUCAGAAAUUGGAAUACAAAGGAGAAAUUGUUAAAGCCUCGUAAGAGUAGAGUAGAGUUCAGACAAAAUCAGUCCUGGGUCUGAAAACGUUCUUACUCCUGUUUUAUUGUCUAAAUCAAACUUGAACUGGAUACUGCUUUGCUAGGAUUACUUGCUGCAGGUGUUGAACCUAAGUUGUUGCUGUUGCUUUGGCAAGCUGUACAAAGAGAUGGGUAAGCAAUUCAUUUGCCCACAGCCCCAGGGUUAUCAGCCACUGGCUUUUGUCUGGAAUCAGUAGACAGAUGUGUGCUGUGUAAAUUAAGCUCCUCCAGUGGGCAGUGAGCUUGUGGUAAUACAGUAAAAUGGGAAUUAUAUAUAUUUUUUUUCCAACUUUUUCUGUUGGAGACUUUCCCUUUCUUUGUACAGAGUCCAGCCCUACAGAGCCUGCUUUUGGUUGGAGCCUCAUAAAGGCAGCACUAAAGCCAAACAACUCCUAGCUGGAUGAAUUUGUUUGAAUGCCUAGAUCUGUGUAUUCAAGCACCCUUUAGUUUCUGUUAAGAUAUUUAAGUGUAAAAACAAGCUAGAUAAUGAAGAAAUGUGUUCAGCUUACAGUAUCCUCCCUUCCGAAAAGUAAAUGGCUAUUUCUUUGUGCUAGAUAUAACCUAAAGUGGCGAGAAAACCUAUAGGCUUUCCCUCAGUUAUCAUGGUUUCACAUUAUUGGAUUUCUUUGUGUGUGAAUACGAGAUCAGGCAUACCCAGGACAGCCUACUUUUUAAGGACCGUAUUAACAUAUCACUAAGUCUUUCCUGUGAUUUAAACAGAACUGUACUGGGUUCUGACCUAAAUUUCACAAAAAAAUGCCAUGGUAUCCAAGAGGAUGCAAGUAGCUUAUGGCAUUGCUUGUUGCAUAGAUGCAGAAAGAAAUUCCAAUUGUCAUUCAGCAGGCAACACUUCUUAUACCAACACCUCCGUGCUUCAGGCUGGCAGCAAGCUGUGUACAAGAGCCCUGCUGAUGCUGCUAAAAGCUCUUCAUCAGUCUGGGUUCCAUCCCAGCCUCAUCAUAAAACAGGAGCUUGAAGCUAAGUGAUAAAAAGAAGGUUAAAAUUUCUGUUUUCCAUUAAAUCCUGUAUUAAACAUCAGUAAACUACAGGAGAGAAUGUUUUUAGUAUAGGUCUCAGUGAAUCCCCACAUCAACUAUGAAUCCAGUAAAUGAGUAUGAUUCAGCUAAGAUGAUCAAGCACUGUGACUUUGGGAGUUUCUGAUGCUUUGCGAUGGUAAUUUUUAUUCAGAUAGUUCAUGUGUCUGUAAACAUUUCCCCAGUCAUUAAAAACAUAUUGUCUCUUUUUCAGCAACUUAUAACACAUUUUUAGGAUACCACUAUGUAUACAAAUAAGGAUUUCAAGCAUGGUCAAUCUGACCUAGUCUCCUUGAACAGCAUUUCUAAUACUGUGAAGGCAAAAUAUGUGCCAUUUACAAAGUAUUCAAGUUAAUAAUAUAACACACAUGUACUAUCCCCUAAAUCUUCAAGCAAGCAGGUUCAAAUUUUAUUUCUACUAUAGCACAGAUGCUGAUCCUUGUAAAGAAUUGUUAUAUUAAAACCAGGCACAAGGAAGUAAGUGGGACAAUUUAGAAGUGCAGAGUCUGCUUGAGGAGAACCCGCUAUGGUCUUCACAGAUGUUAAAGGUGUUAGAAGACUGCGUAAGGAGGCUAUCUGUCCAUAAAAUCAGGUGACUGUAGCUCAACCACUCCUUCCAGAACGUUUGAUGGCUUACCAGUAUUUGUACCAUGUAUCUUUUAUCUGUAAGUGUCUGGGUAGAACAGAUAUGUGAUUCUAUAAUCAGGAAUGUUCUGUCAUGCCACCUACAUAGGGAAAUAGUGAAUUUAAGGUAGCAGCAUCUCCUGAAGUUCCCCAUUGUGUGAUCAAACUGUUUGCCUCUUCCCUGGUCUGCUUAAAUAAAUCAACUCUCAUCAGCUCUCACAUACGCAGCAGUGUACAUAAGUAGUUGAAGCGAAGCAGUGUUAGAGUGAAAUUCAGCACAGAUUAAUUUUUUUGUUUUUUUUUUAAAGAAGUUCAAACCAGCCUGUCUUUCAAAGCCUGCCCAAUGAAUCAUUUUUGGAGAGCAACUGGCACCACAGCUGUUCUGUGUGACUCAAGCUGUUUCAGAGGAAGUAGAAGAUGGGUAAGGGACCGGGCACAGAAAACUCAGUCUUGCAGUUUAUCAUUUGGACUCAUUUGUUUCUCAGCUUAGUGCAUCUGCUCUAUGGUAUAUGCAGAAAAUCUGUUUCCAAGAAAUGAGUUUUUAAGGAGUGUUGCAGAGCUUGGGCAAUGACUGGACUUGGACAGUAGGGAACCAUGAGAAGCAAAGAGCUCAUCUCCAUGCUUUCUUCAUGUCAGUAACACUGUUUCCAUAUUGCACUCUUCCUGAUGAUAGGGAAGCUCUGAUAUUUUGUAAAGGAAGAAGAGUGUUUGAUACUGUCACUGAUCAAACUUUCCUUAAACAUUAACAUAAAAAUAAUUCUUACUGGCAUCACAUAAAAAGAAAAACUAUAUUUGGGGUAAUUUUGUUUAUUUUUUACCUGAUAAACAUUAAAUUCCGGUGUUGACAGAGAAACACCGAUGAAUGAAAAUGAUAACAUCUUACU